rnacentral:rRNA from 1 species
UACGAAGGGGGCUAGCGUUGCUCGGAAUCACUGGGCGUAAAGGGUGCGUAGGCGGGUUUUUAAGUCAGGGGUGAAAUCCUGGAGCUCAACUCCAGAACUGCCUUUGAUACUGAAGAUCUUGAGUCCGGGAGAGGUGAGUGGAACUGCGAGUGUAGAGGUGAAAUUCGUAGAUAUCGGGAGGAACACCAGUGGCGAAGGCGGCGACCUGGGCCAAUAUUGACGCUAAGAUGCGAAAGCGUGGGGAGCAAACAGG